rnacentral:lncRNA from 1 species
ACAUACAUCAAGGAAAUUAGGGCAUUAAAAAAAUAUGCAAAUCCUGCGCGAAGAGGAGCGGGUGCAUUCCUGGCGCGAUCGCCUUUUAUUGAAGCUUUUAAUUAAAGGGGCCAGUUGGCGAGCCCCUGAAACAACCGCCAAAACCCCCCAAAAGAGAAAAAUAAACGCUGUAGCCUUCGAGAA